UGUCCCAUGGGAUAUUAAAAAUCCCAUGGGAUAAUAAUAAUCCCAUGGGAUUUUUUUUGUCCCAUGGGACA
rnacentral:sRNA from 1 species